GACGAACGCUGGCGGCGUGCUUAACACAUGCAAGUCGAACGGAAAGGCCCUGCUUUUGUGGGGUGCUCGAGUGGCGAACGGGUGAGUAACACGUGAGUAACCUGCCCUUGACUUUGGGAUAACUUCAGGAAACUGGGGCUAAUACCGGAUAGGAGCUCCUGCUGCAUGGUGGUGGUUGGAAAGUUUCGGCGGUUGGGGAUGGACUCGCGGCUUAUCAGCUUGUUGGUGGGGUAGUGGCUUACCAAGGCUUUGACGGGUAGCCGGCCUGAGAGGGUGACCGGCCACAUUGGGACUGAGAGACGGCGCAGACUCCUACGGGAGGCAGCAGUGGGGAAUAUUGCAGAAUGGGCGGAAGCCUGAUGCAGCAACGCCGCGUGCGGGAUGACGGCCUUCGGGUUGUAAACCGCUUUCGCCUGUGACGAAGAGUGAGUGACGGUAAUGGGUAAAGAAGCACCGGCUAACUACGUG
rnacentral:rRNA from 1 species